AUUGAACGCUGGCGGCAGGCCUAACACAUGCAAGUCGAGCGGGGUUUUCGGACCUAGCGGCGGACGGGUGAGUAAUGCGUAGGAAGCUACCCGAUAGAGGGGGAUACCAGUUGGAAACGACUGUUAAUACCGCAUAAUGUCUACGGACCAAAGUGUGGGACCUUCGGGCCACAUGCUAUCGGAUGCGCCUACGUGGGAUUAGCUAGUUGGUGAGGGAAUGGCUAACCAAGGCGACGAUCCCUAGCUGGUUUGAGAGGAUGAUCAGCCACACUGGAACUGAGACACGGUCCAGACUCCUACGGGAGGCAGCAGUGGGGAAUAUUGGACAAUGGGCGCAAGCCUGAUCCAGCCAUGCCGCGUGUGUGAAGAAGGCCUUCGGGUUGUAAAGCACUUUCAGUAGGGAGGAAGCGUUGUGUGUUAAUAGUACACAGCGUUGACGUUACCUACAGAAGAAGCACCGGCUAACUCUGUGCCAGCAGCCGCCGCAGUAA
rnacentral:rRNA from 1 species